rnacentral:rRNA from 1 species
GUUGAACGCUGGCGGCAGGCCUAACACAUGCAAGUCGAACGGUAACAGGAAGAAGCUUGCUUCUUUGCUGACGAGUGGCGGACGGGUGAGUAAUGUCUGGGAAACUGCCUGAUGGAGGGGGGUAACUACUGGAAACGGUAGCUAAUACCGCAUAACGUCGCAAGACCAAAGAGGGGGACCUUCGGGCCUCUUGCCCUCGGAUGUGCCCAGAUGGGAUUAGCUAGUAGGUGGGGUAACGGCUCACCUAGGCGACGAUCCCUAGCUGGUCUGAGAGGAUGACCAGCCACACUGGAACUGAGACACGGUCCAGACUCCUACGGGAGGCAGCAGUGGGGAAUAUUGCACAAUGGGCGCAAGCCUGAUGCAGCCAUGCCGCGUGUAUGAAGAAGGCCUUCGGGUUGUAAAGUACUUUCAGCGGGGAGGAAGGGAGUAAAGUUAAUACCUUUGCUCAUUGACGUUACCCGCAGAAGAAGCACCGGCUAACUCCGUG